GAUGAACGCUGGCGGCGUGCCUAAUACAUGCAAGUCGAGCGAACAGAUGAGGAGCUUGCUCCUCUGACGUUAGCGGCGGACGGGUGAGUAACACGUGGAUAACCUACCUAUAAGACUGGGAUAACUUCGGGAAACCGGAGCUAAUACCGGAUAAUAUAUUGAACCGCAUGGUUCAAUAGUGAAAGACGGUUUUGCUGUCACUUAUAGAUGGAUCCGCGCCGCAUUAGCUAGUUGGUAAGGUAACGGCUUACCAAGGCAACGAUGCGUAGCCGACCUGAGAGGGGGGUCGGCCACACUGGAACUGAGAAAAGGUCCAGACUCCUACGGGAGGGAGCAGGAGGGAAUCUUCCGCAAUGGGCGAAAGCCUGACGGAGCAACGCCGCGGGAGUGAUGAAGGUCUUCGGAUCGUAAAACUCUGUUAUUAGGGAAGAACAAAUGUGUAAGUAACUAUGCACGUCUUGACGGUACCUAAUCAGGAAGCCACGGCUAACUACGUG
rnacentral:rRNA from 1 species